rnacentral:rRNA from 1 species
AGCUCCAAUAGCGUAUAUUAAAGUUGUUGCAGUUAAAAAGCUCGUAGUUGAACUUGUGGCUUUGCAUGUGGUCCAACAUUGUUUGGUGCCGUCCGUGUAGAACCAUCUUUGGACAGAAAUUGUGUGGCAUUAGGUUGUUGCGCAAGGGAUGUUCAUCUUUUACUGUGAGAAAAUCAGCGCGUUCAAAGCAGGCUUACGCCGUUGAAUGUAUUAGCAUGGAAUAAUAAGAUAGGCCCUCGGUACUAUUUUGUUGGUUUGCGCACUGAGGUAAUGAUCAAUAGGGACAGUUGGGGGUAUUUGUAUUCCGUAGUCAGAGGUGAAAUUCUUGGAUUUUCGGAAGACAAACUACUGCGAAAGCAUUUACCAAGGAUGUUUUCAUUAAUCAAGAACGAAAGUACGC